AACGCGAAAAACCUUACCUACUCUUGAAAUCCAGAGAAUUCGCUAGAGAUAGCUUAGUGCCUUCGGGAACUCUGUGACAGGUGCUGCAUGGCCGUCG
rnacentral:rRNA from 1 species